rnacentral:rRNA from 1 species
GAUGAACGCUGGCGGCGUGCCUAAUACAUGCAAGUCGAGCGAGCGGACGAGAAGCUUGCUUUUCUGAUGUUAGCGGCGGACGGGUGAGUAACACGUGGAUAACCUACCUAUAAGACUGGGAUAACUUCGGGAAACCGGAGCUAAUACCGGAUAAUAUUUUGAACCGCAUGGUUCAAAAGUGAAAGACGGUCUUGGUGUCACUUAUAGAUGGAUCCGCGCUGCAUUAGCUAGUUGGUAAGGUAACGGCUUACCAAGGCAACGAUGCAUAGCCGACCUGAGAGGGUGAUCGGCCACACUGGAACUGAGACACGGUCCAGACUCCUACGGGAGGCAGCAGUAGGGAAUCUUCCGCAAUGGGCGAAAGCCUGACGGAGCAACGCCGCGUGAGUGAUGAAGGUCUUCGGAUCGUAAAACUCUGUUAUUAGGGAAGAACAUAUGUGUAAGUAACUGUGCACAUCUUGACGGUACCUAAUCAGAAAGCCACGGCUAACUACGUG